ensembl:snRNA U5 U5 spliceosomal RNA
CAACUUUGCUCCCUUCAAAUCGUAUAAAUCUUUCGGCUUUUACUAAAGAUUUCCGUGGGGAGGAACAUUUACAAGUUUCUACCUAAUUUUUUGAGGCUUUGCUUCGGUGAGGCU